rnacentral:rRNA from 1 species
AUUGAACGCUGGCGGCAGGCCUAACACAUGCAAGUCGAGCGAGCGGCGGACGGGUGAGUAAUGUCUGGGAAACUGCCUGAUGGAGGGGGAUAACUACUGGAAACGGUAGCUAAUACCGCAUACCAUCAGAUGUGCCCAGAUGGGAUUAGCUAGGAGGUGGGGUAACGCCUAACCUCGGCGACGAUCCCUAGCGGGUCUGAGAGGAUGACCAGCCACCCUGGAACUAAGACCCGGUCCAGCUUCCGACGGGAGGCAGCCGUGGGGAAUAUUGCACAAUGGGCGAAGGCCUGAUGCAGCCAUGCCGCGUGUGUAAGGAAGGCCUUCGGGUUGUAAAGCACUUUCAGCGGGGAGGCGUUACCCGAAGAAGAAGCACCGGCUAACUCCGUGCCAGCAGCCGCGGUAAUAC